rnacentral:lncRNA from 1 species
UUCUUAUAUCAAUAAUGUUAGUCUGUUAACAAAAUUACGUAGUGGAACAUUAAAGUUAAAUAUUGAAGUAGGUCGUUAUAAUAAUAUUCCUAGAGAAAAUCGUUUAUGUGAAUGUUGUAAAAUGUGUGUUAUUGAAGAUGAAUAUCAUUUUGUUCUUGUUUGUCCAGCUUAUAGAUCUGUACGAACCCAAUUUUUACCAAAGUAUUAUUGUUCUUGGCCUAAUGAUCGAAAACUAUUAAAUAUACUACAAGCUUCUAGUAAGUCU